AGCAGCCGCGGUAAUUCCAGCUCCAAUAGCGUAUAUUAAAGUUGUUGCAGUUAAAAAGCUCGUAGUUGAACUUCGGGGUCUACCCAUUGGUCAGGCUUAUUGUCUGCACUGGUGAGAUGGAUCUCUACCUUCUGAGGAACUUUCAUGCCAUUUAUUUGGUGUGGUUGGAAAUCAGGACUGUUACUUUGAAAAAAUUGAGUGUUUAAAGCAGACUAUCGUCUGAAUACAUUAGCAUGGAAUAAUGAAAUAGGACGGACUGAUUCUAUUUCGUUGGUUUCUAGGAUCACCGUAAUGAUUAAUAGGGAUAGUUGGGGCAUUAGUAUUCAAUUGUCAGAGGUGAAAUUCUUGGAUUUAUGAAGACUAACUACUGCGAA
rnacentral:rRNA from 1 species